rnacentral:snoRNA from 1 species
UAGACCAAUUAUAACAGUGUGCCAUGAACCAAGAAUUAUGACUAAUACAAUUCUGUGCACCUGGGACCCAUA